AGAGCGAACGCUGGCGGCAGGCCUAACACAUGCAAGUCGAGCGGCCGUAGCAAUACGGCAGCGGCAGACGGGAGAGUAACACGUGGGAACGCGCCCUUCGGUUCGGAAUAACUCAGGGAAACUUGGGCUAAUACCGGAUACGCCCUUACGGGGAAAGAUUUAUUGCCGAAGGAACGGCCCGCGUCCGAUUAGCUUGUUGGUGAGGUAACGGCUCACCAAGGCGACGAUCGGUAGCUGGUCUGAGAGGAUGACCAGCCUCACUGGGACUGAGACACGGCCCAGACUCCUACGGGAGGCAGCAGUGGGGAAUAUUGGACAAUGGGCGCAAGCCUGAUCCAGCCAUGCCGCGUGGGUGAUGAAGGCCCUAGGGUUGUAAAGCCCUUUCGGCGGGGAAGAUAAUGACGGUACCGCAGAAGAAGCCCCGGCUAACUUCGUGCCAGCAGCCGC
rnacentral:rRNA from 1 species